AAGAGCUUUUCUUCCUUGAGCCAUAAAGGAUAAGUAGAAGCCUGGGAUCAACUGAUCUGCGUCAUGCUGAGGUAAAAGCAGCAUCAAAUGAAGACACCAUCAACGUGCCUCCAGGAAAUGAAUAAAGACCUCAAUGAGGUGGUAACAGUUUAGUGAACACCUAAAGGAAGAAAAUUCUGGGAGAAGAAACAACGUUCAAAAAGGCACUAAGGCUGCAUUGAACACAAGCCGAAAGACUGUUCUCAGGCAGAUAUGACAGUGUCUGCACUUACAUGCCAUGGCAUGACUGGAAUAACAAGGAUCAAAUGGACAUGGGAGGAUUCUCAACAGCUACAGAAACUUUUUUUUAUUUAUUCCUCAUUAAUCAUCAUCAUUUUAGACCCUUAAUUCCCUUAUUGCUCAACUUAAAGACACAUCCUACCACACUCUAAAACUUGUUUCUUUCCUUCUGAUUCCUUAUCACAAUUGUUUACUGGUAAUUUUAUCCUUUUUUGUAUAUUUUCUGUAUUUGUCAUUAGACUGUGAGCAUCAUAAGGCCCAGAACCGAAUUUAUUUUAUUCAUCAACAUCAAAUACAAAGUAGGAACCACUUGAGAUUUGUUGAAUCAAUGAAUAAAAAC
rnacentral:lncRNA from 10 species